ensembl:lncRNA
UCCAUUUUUCUCCCCAUGUAUACAAAGCAUAACUGUCAUGAUAUGUGUCAUUUUAAGCCGAUUUUCCAUCCUGUGAUGCGAUGAAUUGGAGCGAAUAAGCUGGAAGCAGCAGAUGGCUAACAGCCCAGUGCGGUUGCUAAGGUUGCCUGAAUGCUACUCGCAGAGUUUUCUGGUUAGCAUAGAACAAGACAAGAGAGCUACACACAGAAUGAGCUAUCAAUCGUGUAAAAAGCGUAAUCCGUAGUCUUAAAAAAAUGAUUCGUCUGUGUUUGGAUGGCAGGCAUAUUGGCAAGUUGUCAUGACAACAGGGAUGUUCUGCUGAUGAAGACUUGCUGUCGACUGUCCAAUCGGAUGACGGCAGCUUAAACUGCAGCGUGAGCGCAAGUGUUGAGGGGGAUACACGUUUUCCAGAUACACACAAUGCCAAGGACGACGCCCUUGUCCAAGACCACCUACGGAUCAUAAUCGGCUACAGGAGAGGGAUGGCUAACGGACUGACACGAUCUACUUUGGAAUGAGAACAAGGCGGAGGAAGAAACGAGACAGGGCCAGAUAUACAGUAGUCAAAGUCAUCAAGGAAGUACCAUGGGCCAUCCACGGCUUGCAGAACCUCCACUGCUUGCAUUAGUGGAGCCCACAGACCAUUCUCUGAGGGGCAGAAGAUCAGUAGUACAGAGCUGCCGGACUUCAUUGAUGGUCGAUCCAGGAUAAAGGACGAGGAGGCCCAAAAGUAAAAAAAGGUGUGUGAGAAUUCUGUUUAACAUUUACGGAAGGAGUCUCCAGAGUCAGUGCUUUGUGCCAGUCGGGUUUUCCACCACAGUAAAGUCUUCAGGAAAGAGGAGUUUAUGCUUGGGGAUUUCUUGGUGACAUGGCAAGUUGCAAGUUUUCCUUCAAGAGGGUACGUCUAGUGAGGGAAAAACAAUUUGUAGCUGUUAUAAGUGACGAAAUGGGAUUCCAUAAGUGCUUACAGUAUGUAAGCCUUGAAUUCCAUACAUCUAGCAUAUAUACUGUAUAUCCCUGUGUUUUCUCACUACAGAUGAACUCUGUUGUUCUGAAAUGCUAUGCCCCUCCUCAGCCCCUGCGUUCUUGCCAGAGCAGCUUUAACCUUCACGCUGUUCAUCUAGGCAGUGGCGCUUUGUCUAAAUCUCCCACAUCAAAGGCAACAUGCAAAUGCUGCAGACAGUUGGAGCAUUUGAUGUUGUCUCUUUUUUUCCCGCCAGGGUAGGAGCUUAUGCUUACUGUGAUUACCGUGUCAGGAUGCAACAGUGUUUGCGAAAGGCUGAGUAGCUGUGAUGCCGUUCGAUUAACUAGCUAACUUCCAAAUGCUCAAGAACUAGAAUGCAUAGUUGGGUUUGAGUGUUCAUGUGAGGGAAUCUUGGCGAAAGAGCAGUUUAUUUUACCCAUAAUGCACUGUGAAUGCAGGUUUUAAAGCAGUAGCAGAGCAUAAAAAAAAGCCCAAUUACUUGAAUAGGAAAAUAGUUUGGCGUCAUUCUGAGCAACGAUGCAAAGCUUGAAAUUUCGUGUUGCCCAGUAGAAAACAGCAGGGUAGACUGUGGUGUGUCUCUUCUUUUUUAAAAAACAACAACAAAAAAAGACAAUGCACACUUUUCAUAGCUAGCUAGCUAGAUUACACAUUCAAAUGAUCAUUUAGCAUCCAUCUGUCUCCUAUAAACAUUUUCAAAUGAUUAUUUAUUUGCUAAGAAAAAUUCUAAGAUGAACAGUCCUCUCGAAACAAAGCAUUUCAGACGCAUCCAAAAAGAAAGCUUGUUUUUUUUUUUGUUUUUUUUUUCCCUCACAACUGUUUGAGAUGACAAUCAUAUUAAAUAUGACGGGGUUUUCUUAGUGUUCUCUCACUCUGUCUGUCGCUAGCCUUCUCUGUAUGUAAGUACAGCUGGACUUUACAAUUGCCCUGAGUGGAUUUAAUAUUGACUGAAAAAGAAUUUCCUGUUGCCAUCUUGAUGUCGUUUUCAUUUAAUACGAACAUCAGAUCUGAGUUUUAGCAAAAUGCUAGUAAUGCACAUUCACUCUAAGGCCAGGUCUGAGUUAACCCGUGUAUUUUUUUUACCCUACAGGAUAGAUUGCAUGUGUAUGCUGUUAUGUGAAUGAUUACUGUACAUGCAUACAUGGUAAAGUGUGAUAAAUAAUUAAUAAAACGCUGUUAUAGGUGGUGUAAUGCGUUAUCACCCAAUAACAGUUGGAUAACUAGAAGUAGCAAUUUAUUUAUUAAAGAAAAAUUUGUCAUAGUUUUUAUCCUUUUAUAGGUACGUUUAAUGUUUUGGAAUGUCUGCAAAACAAGUUACUUAUGUUAUUGCAGCUAUAAAUAAUUACCUCUGACUGUCACAAAACACUGACACUGGAGACUCUUUCCAAAAAUGCUAAUUAAAGAUCUCCAAACAGAAAACACAUUUUAUAGUUUACAUGGAGAGUCUGCCUGGAUUGCACUGUUACUGUAGAAAAGUGAUUUAUUAUAUACAGUGCAUCCGGAAAGUAUUCACAGCGCUUCACUUUUCCCACAUUUUGUUAUGUUACAGCUUUAUUCCAGCAUGGAUUCAAUUCAUUAUUUUCCUCAAAAUUCUACAAACAAUACCCCAUAAUGACAAUGUGAAAGAAGUUUGUUUGAAAUCUUUGCAAAUUUAUUUAAAAAAAAAAAAAAAAAAAAAAAAAGCACAUGGACAUAAGUAUUCACAGCCUUUGCUCAGUACUUUGUUGAAGCACCUUUGGCACCGAUUUCAGUCUCCAGACUUUUUGAGUAUGAUGCUACAAGCUUGGCACACCUAUUUUUUGGCAGUUUCUCACAUUCUUCUUUGCAGGACCUCUCAAGCUCCAUCAGGUUGGAUGGGG